rnacentral:rRNA from 1 species
UGGAGCCAACCUUGAAAUACCACCCUUUAAUGUUUGAUGUUCUAACGUAGACCCGUGAUCCGGGUUGCGGACAGUGUCUGGUGGGUAGUUUGACUGGGGCGGUCUCCUCCCAAAGAGUAACGGAGGAGCACGAAGGUUAGCUAAUCCUGGUCGGACAUCAGGAGGUUAGUGCAAUGGCAUAAGCUAGCUUGACUGCGAGCGUGACGGCGCGAGCAGGUGCGAAAGCAGGUCAUAGUGAUCCGGUGGUUCUGAAUGGAAGGGCCAUCGCUCAACGGAUAAAAGGUACUCCGGGGAUAACAGGCUGAUACCGCCCAAGAGUUCAUAUCGACGGCGGUGUUUGGCACCUCGAUGUCGGCUCAUCACAUCCUGGGGCUGAAGUAGGUCCCAAGGGUAUGGCUGUUCGCCAUUUAAAGUGGUACGCGAGCUGGGUUUAGAACGUCGUGAGACAGUUCGGUCCCUAUCUGCCGUGGGCGCUGGAGAAUUGAGGGGGGCUGCUCCUAGUACGAGAGGACCGGAGUGGACGCAUCACUGGUGUUCGGGUUGUCAUGCCAAUGGCAUUGCCCGGUAGCUAAAUGCGGAAAAGAUAAGUGCUGAAAGCAUCUAAGCACGAAACUUGCCCCGAGAUGAGUUCUCCCUGACCCUUUAAGGGUCCUGAAGGAACGUUGAAGACGACGACGUUGAUAGGUCGGGUGUGUAAGCGUAGCGAUACGUUGAGCUAACCGAUACUAAUGAACCGUGAGGCUUAACCUU